CUGCAGCCCGACUUGAACGGAGCUCAUUUUUUUUGCAGGAGGAUUUAGCUCGGGAAAAAAUAGCGGGAGUGGUAGGCGGAUAAAGC
rnacentral:sRNA from 1 species